rnacentral:rRNA from 1 species
AUUGAACGCUGGCGGCAUGCUUUACACAUGCAAGUCGAACGGCAGCGCGGGCUUCGGCCUGGCGGCGAGUGGCGAACGGGUGAGUAAUGCAUCGGAACGUGCCCAGUAGUGGGGGAUAGCCCGGCGAAAGCCGGAUUAAUACCGCAUACGACCUGAGGGUGAAAGCGGGGGACCGAAAGGCCUCGCGCUAUUGGAGCGGCCGAUGUCGGAAUAGCUAGUUGGUGGGGUAAAGGCUUACCAAGGCGACGAUCCGUAGCUGGUCUGAGAGGACGACCAGCCACACUGGGACUGAGACACGGCCCAGACUCCUACGGGCGGCAGCAGUGGGGAAUUUUGGACAAUGGGGGCAACCCUGAUCCAGCCAUGCCGCGUGCGGGAAGAAGGCCUUCGGGUUGUAAACCGCUUUUGUUCGGGAAGAAAUCCUCUGGGCUAAUACCCCGGGGGGAUGACGGUACCGGAAGAAUAAGCACCGGCUAACUACGUG